UUUUGGUCCUAAACUUGCCGUUGUUUUUGAUCAAAAUUACACAUGCAAGCAUCCGCAUCCCAGUGAGAAUGCCCUUCUAAAGCACCAAGGAGCAGGUAUCAGGCACAACAGUUUAGCCCAAGACACCUUGCUACGCCACACCCACACGGGCACCCAGCAGUGAUAAAUAUUAAGCAAUGAGUAAAAGCCAACAUAAAGCUCGACUUAGUUAUGAUCAUACUUGGGCCGGUAAACCUCGUGCCAGCCACCGCGGUUAUACGAGGGGCCCAAAACAACAGACACCGGCGUAAAUUGUGACUAGAGUCACCACUUACAGAGCCGGGAGCUUAAUGAAAACCCAACCGUAAAACCCGGGCUAAAAGAAACCCUUCCUCCCAACUAUAUAGUGACUUGAACACACGAAGACUGAGGCACAAACUAGGAUUAGAUACCCUACUAUGCUCAGUUGUCAACACGACACCAAAAAACAUCGGUGUCCGCCAGAGAAUUACACGCGAAAAGCUUAAAACUCAAAGGACUUGGCGGUGCUCCGUAUUCGUCUUAGAGGAGCCUGUCCUAUAAUCGAUACUCCACGCUCUACCUUACCACCUUUUGUCAAAACAGCCUAUAUACCGCCGUCGCAAACUUACCCCAUGAGGGUAAAACAGUAAGUAAAAUAGUACAACACUAACACGUCAGGUCAAGGUGUAGCUAACAAGAUGGAAGAGAUGGGCUACAUUUUCUAAAACAGAACACACGGCAAAGGGCAUUGAAACUAUGCCCUAAAAGGCGGAUUUAAUAGUAAGAUGACAAAGAAAAGCCAUCUAAAACCCGCUCCGGAGCGCGCACACACCGCCCGUCACCCUCCUCAACUAA
rnacentral:ncRNA from 1 species